CAUGAAAGGUGAAGUAGGGGCCUCUUUCCGACGGGAAGAGUGCCUCGUCGAUCCGGUAGCUCUCGAUCGCUGAGCCCUGAUUUUCAUCAUCUCGAGAGGUUUCUUCAAGCUUCUACGGAGCUCGCUGGCUUACCUCUGUCGAAUCCCCCUACCUGGUGUGCCAAAUCUGUUGCAGCAAAUCCCUCCGUCGCCCGAUCGCCAGUGUCGCACACCUACAAAAAAAGUCCUCACAGAUCGGAGAUGCCUCCGGCGGAGACCCUCUGACGGUCAAGUC
rnacentral:lncRNA from 1 species